UGGGGAAUAUUGCACAAUGGGCGCAAGCCUGAUGCAGCCAUGCCGCGUGUGUGAAGAAGGCUCUAGGGUUGUAAAGCACUUUCAGUAGGGAGGAAAUGCUAUUGAUUAAUACUCAAUAGUUUUGACGUUACCUACAGAAGAAGCACCGGCAAACUCCGUGCCAGCAGCCGCGGUAAUACGGAGGGUGCGAGCGUUAAUCGGAAUUACUGGGCGUAAAGCGCGCGUAGGUGGUUUGAUAAGCUAGCUGUGAAAGCCCCGGGCUCAACCUGGGAACUGCAGUUAGAACUGUCUGACUAGAGUACAGUAGAGGGUGGCGGAAUUUCCUGUGUAGCGGUGAAAUGCGUAGAUAUAGGAAGGAACAUCAGUGGCGAAGGCGGCCACCUGGACUGAUACUGACACUGAGGUGCGAAAGCGUGGGGAGCAAACAGG
rnacentral:rRNA from 1 species